GACGAACGCUGGCGGCGUGCUUAACACAUGCAAGUCGAACGGUGAACCAGAGCUUGCUCUGGGGAUCAGUGGCGAACGGGUGAGUAACACGUGGGCAACCUGCCCCAGACUCUGGGAUAACCCCGGGAAACCGGAGCUAAUACCGGAUAUGACCACUUCGGACAUCCGAUGGUGGUGGAAAGUUUUUCGGUCUGGGAUGGGCCCGCGGCCUAUCAGCUAGUUGGUGGGGUAAUGGCCUACCAAGGCGACGACGGGUAGCCGGCCUGAGAGGGCGACCGGCCACACUGGAACUGAGACACGGUCCAGACUCCUACGGGAGGCAGCAGUGGGGAAUAUUGGGCAAUGGGGGAGACCCUGACCCAGCGACGCCGCGUGAGGGACGAAGGUUUUCGGAUCGUAAACCUCUGUUGUACGGGAAGAAGGAAUUGACGGUACCGUACGAGUAAGCCCCGGCAAACUACGUG
rnacentral:rRNA from 1 species